CUGUCAUAAUACGUUUUAUCCAUGUUCAUUGGCAUUAUUAGAUUUUCUAAAAUGUAUUGUACGAAUAUUUUCUUGUGAAAAUGAAUAUUUUUUAAAUUCUUAUAAAAUUUUAUUUAUAUUUUUAUGAAAAUGUCUUAAUUUUAAUUUAUAAUGAUAGGUGAAAGUGUUCUGAAUAACUGUUGACCCGUGAAACGAAAGUGAUCAUAACAAUGUAAUUCAGCAUUAAAAAAACAAUAUCUUUUUAAUGAUCGAUUCGAAAUCAUACAUAUUAUAAGAGUUCCUAUUUUGUAUGAACGUCGUAAUGUAUUUAUCUUAAAAAUAUUAUUUAAUAAUAUUAAAAUAUAUUUAAUAUGUUUACAUGAUUGUUAUUUCAUAUUUAAUUCACAAGAAGACUUUUUAUACAAUUUAUUUGAAUAUUUUUCAAUCUUAGUAGUGAAAAAAUUGGUGUUAAUCAGGGAAACAAUUAAGUUUCCAAUAGAUGAUAUAUUAAUAUGGAUAUUUUUGAAUUUAUUUGUGUAUCUGUGAUUACAUUUAUGUGUGGUAUAAUAUGUACAAUUGUAUUGGAAUUUUAUUUCUUCAAAAAAUUUUUGGAACAAGCACCUUUAGCAAAUUCACCAAAAAAAUCACUUCACCAUGACAAGGCUCAAUUACCUAAAGAAUUAUUUGAAAAAAUUCAAGAUGAAAAAAUAAAUUCCAUAAAUAUAUCACGUCAGAGUAUGUGUCAAGGCAAUGAAAACUUGGCAAUAAAUUUAACAUUACAAUUUCUAUUCAAUGAACUUAGAAAUGCUGAGAGAGUACGUCUUUGGUUGUAUAGAAAAUUAAAUAAUGAAUUCAAAGAAUUAUUAACUCAAUCUACUACUGGAAAAUUAUUGGACAGUGUACAGUUAAGAGAUUUAAAUUUAGGUUCACAAUUUCCUACAAUAAAAGGUUUAGAAGUUGCAGAUUCAAAAAUAGAUGCUGAUACAGGAUUAUUGGAAACAUUGGAUUUAUCUUUAGAUUUACAUUAUUCUGGAAAUUUUCAAUUAUCAAUAGAUGUUAAAAUGUUAUUGGGAAAGACUGCUUAUAUGGCUUUACAAGUGAAACGUAUCAGUGGUAGAGCUAGAUUACAAUUUACACGUGUUCCAUAUACUCAUUGGUCUUUAAGUUUCUAUUCAGAUCCUAUACUUGAAUUGGAAGUGCAAUCCCAAUUUCAAGGUCGUCAAUUACAACCACAAAUUAUUUCUUUAAUCACAGGACAAAUUCGGAGAGCAGUACGGAGAAAGCACACAUUACCUCGCUAUAAAAUGCGUUACAAACCAUUUUUCCGCAGACUAAACGAUGAAGCCGUAGAUUUAUCUGAAGUCGCUAAUAUGCAAUUAAUACCAGGUUACUUGGAAGUAUCAUUGGUUGAAGUAACUAGAUUAAAUCUUGGACCUAAUAUACUUAAUGCAGAGGAUAGAUCACAAGUUGAAAUAUAUUGUACAAUAAGCAUAGAUUCAACACCUUGGGUGUAUUUAACUCAAUAUACUGGCGUUCCUUAUAUGGUGUUGGAUUUAAUUAUCAGUAAAGUUGGGUCACAGCAACUUGGUGUAGUAUUUAAACAAGAAUUUGUGCCAGAAAUAGGUCAUACAUGUGUAUUAGUUGAAACUAUAAUAGUUGGAAGUCCUGCUGCAAUUGCUGAAAUGAAAAAAGGGGAUAUUUUAAUAGCAGUAGAUGGUAAAAAAGUAUCUAAUAUGAAUCAAGUAGCUAAAUUUGUAAAAAGUGCUGUACAAAGACGUUUUAUCAUAAGGGUUGAAAGAAAGUAUUCUAAAAUAGAUUUAGACAAGCAAACUAGUAUGAAAUUGGAUAGUGAAAAAAUAUCUGCAGAAAGAGGAGGAGAUAAAAAAACAUUAAAAAUUGAUCCCAUAUCAAAUAAGGGAGAUACACCCAGUACAGAAGAUAGCAAAAUCAAAUUUGAAACUCAAAUUAAAUUUUCAGAUUUAAAAGAUUAUGAAAAUGAAAUUGUUGAUAAAUUGGAAAUGGGUAAUAAAUUUUUUAGAAGAAGAAAAAGCAGUGCACAUAUUGAUGAUACUGCUCAAACACCAGAUACUACACCUUCCAGAAAAAUUUCGACUACUUCAAAUCAAUCAAUAUCGAGUAAUUCUCAAUUUUGUUUUAAUGAUAGUUAUGUAACAAAUAUAUCAGAUUUGUAUUAUACCACUAAAGAAAAGGAAUAUGCUUCUUUAAUUACUUUUGAGGAAACUAGAACUUUCCAAAUUGAUUCAGAACUUCAGUAUUUAAAUAUUGGAGUGUGGGGUCGUGUAAGAGGAGGAGAAAUUCAUGCAAAAUUAUUAGGAUAUAUUAAUGUUCCCAUGAAAUUAAUUUUAGCACAAUGCUAUACAUCCUCAACUGGUCAUUAUCUUAAAUGUCAUGCUUUAUUACCACCAGAUAGUGCUUCCUUGACGACAGUUCAUCCAAAACUACAAGAUUAUUCAGGAUUUGAUCCCACACUUUGUUAUGGUGAUAUUUUAUUAUCUUAUAUAUGGGAAUCCAAUUAUUCAAAUCGCCAUAUACUUGAUAUGGGAAAAAAGGAAAAUACAGAAGCUAUUAAAACACAACCAUCUUUGAGUGAAGAAAUUGUUGAAAAAAAAAUGCAUGACUUUAUUAGAACUCACUUUCAUAGAGCAACACAUUGCGAUUUUUGUACAAAAAAGAUUUGGCUAAAAGAUGCGGUACAGUGCAGAGAUUGUGGUAUGGUAUGUCAUAAAAAAUGCGAAGUCCGGUGUCAAGCAUCGGGAAUAUGUGGAGCCGAAAGUAUAACAACAAUAGCAUUAGAAGCGGAUGAAAUAGAGCCUACUCUUAUCGGAGAAUCGGGUCCAGAAAUUUCACUAACCAGUUGUGAAGAUACUGUACAGGGUGCAACUAUGAUGGCCAUGAAGGCUAGUAUAGCUAAUACUCUAUUGGGCCUGAAGAAGGCUGGAAGUACCAGUUGCUUGGCCCCGCCGGCUUCCGGUACUGGUUUGGCAUCUAGAAGUCUUCCCCCAAGUCCCUGUGCAUCCCGCAAGGUAGAAUUUAAUAACACAAAUUUGUUCAGUUGGAACAGAGAAGGAUCAUAUUGAUCGUUUUACUAAUAAUAAUUAUAUUAGCUAUUAAUAAUUCAUCAAUUGUGAUUAAAUCAAAAUGUAAUUUCAGGCCUUCUCUGCUCUAUUUCUAUUCUUUGUCCUAUUCUUUUAUAUAUACCAGCAAUUGUAGGGGGCAGAAAACACGCUUAUGAUUAUAUUGAUUGUGAUUUUAAAGCUUAUAUUAUUUGAUUCGCUUCGCGUUCAAUCUUUCGUGCAACGUUUUGAAAACUCUUAUAUGAGCUUUUACUUUCUAUUGCAAACGACUAUGUUUUUUAUUUCUUAUGGCACUAAUUGUUAUGUUGAAGUAACAGAUAUGCAGAUGCACAUUGAAUCAUCAUGCUUAUUAUAUAAAAUAUCGUUGUAUUGAUGCUGUAUAAUUAUUACAAUUUCUAAUAGUGCAAUAAACGAUGCUUUCUUUACACGUUUAUUAUCAUAUCAAUCAAAGAAUUCAUUGGUCGGAGGCUUGGGCAUAAGUCCUGAUCUCUUGGAGGGUGCUGAGCCAAGUGUGGCAGCUCCUCUAGUAGCAGGGGAUUUGGAUGAUGGUCUUAUGUCUAGGGCUAAAG